rnacentral:rRNA from 1 species
AUCUUUCGCAAUGGGCGAAAGCCUGACGAAGCUACGCUGCGUGAGCGAUGAAGGCCUUCGGGUCGUAAAGCUCUUUCGCGCAAGAACAAGGAAUCUGGGUGAAUAACCUAGGAACUUGAGGGUACUGCGUAAAGAAGCACCGGCUAACUCCA